ensembl:lncRNA
GGCUGGGGGAGUUGGGGGCAGCUUCCUUCAUGAGAAGGAAUUAUCUGUGGGCAGGUACCCUGCCUCUGACAAGCCCAGGCAGCUGCAUUUUCAUGUGUGAUGUCCCUUAUCUCCGCUGGUAGGAGGCAGUUUGCCAUUUCAGGGUGACACAGAGAGCCGUAGUCUUAAAUUUUGAGUUAUAGAUGUCAGCAGUGGUUACCAGGGAAACUUCUAAAAUUACCCUGGUGAUGUCUCCUCUCAGAUACUACAUCAGAUCUCCAGCAAAUGGCACUGAGUGAGCAGGCACAGGCUGAGGAAGCAUCGCUGUGUAAGGCUCCUGGAGGCUGUACUUACAAUUGCUGUUCACUGCUGUCACACAAUGGUCAGAAGUAAUUCAUUGAGCUGGAUGGCCUUUGGUGUGCUAAGCCAGGCUUAUGGUUGGCAAACAUCUGCCCUUCCUGGAGCUGCUGGGUGGGCUUGGAUGAGCUGCCCUGACCCUGUGCCUGCCAGCCUGCUGGGAGCUGUGCAGACAAUGUCAAGCAUGCCAUCGUUAGCUUGGAGCUGGGCCACCUAAUGUGGUUAGCAGUCUGCCUCUUCCUGAAGUCAGAGCUGAAACGUUUGUGGCAGAAGCUGCAUUUUAGACCUCAGAGUUAUGAGAGAGAUUCUUCUGAAAGUGAAAAUCAAACAAGUGAGCAGCCGUGUUUGCCCAAGGCAGUGUCUCUGAGGGAGUAUGACUUUCCCUGUCCCGUUACUCUUAUUCAGAAGUUAAUCCUCAAAUCGAAUGUGUGAACUGCUCUCUUCUUACACGUGUGUGACACAGCUCACAAGUGAAAAUAGAAGGAGUGCAGAGUAAAGCAACAGCUGUCUUGGAAGAAAGAGGAAAGCCAUGGAAGGAGCUGUAGAAAGGCAAAAGGCAGAUGGGCACCAGCUUCCAGAAGGAGCGCACUGAGGUCUACGUUUCCAUCAGCAUUCGGCUUCUGGAUCUCAAGCAAAUGCUGAAAGCAAAGUUCCUUCUGAUGCUGGGGAUGAGAGCAGAUGGAAGCCAAGCUAUAGUUGAUACAGGACCUAUUCCUCAAUGACUGUUUCACUUGCAAACAAGGAGCCUUAGUGCCACUAAGAUUUGGGUACCAUGAUUCACUGAGGGCUGCCCAGGAUAAGCAGUGUCCAUGUCAUGUUUUCCAGGAUAUUCCUUCCCAGAACCACACGGCUCCUGCUCUGCUGUGCAGAAGUGCACCUCAGUCUCCAUACCUAACAAAUUGAAGGCUCUUCUUGUUUCACAGAGCAUCAGUCGACGUCCUGCCCUCGCUCUCUAAAUUUCUCCCAAGCCUUGCAAGCACCAGAAGUACGAGCGCCAGAUCCUCUCAUCUCCUUCCCUCCCUUGACCUCACCUCUGUGUCCCACACCUCUCCAGGCAGCCCAUGCACGCUCCUGAGGAAGAAUGUGGCCAAUAUACUGCCAAGUGCUGCUAAAUGGAAGAAGGCAGAGGAUAACAAAAAAUCAAAAAGACUGGAGGAAGAUUUCUUCCUGAUGCUGUAAUCUCAUGCUGCUGUUUAUCUCCACCUGUGACUUUGCUUAUUCCUUCGUCCCUCUAUAAAUCACUGCAGCUGGUGGUGCAUUCACCCAACCUUUCUGCCAGGAUGGUGUCAAACCUCUUCCCAUCAGACACCUGAACUGGUCAAUUCCUACCGCUAAACACCACUAUUUUGAAGAAGGAAAACUGAAGUGAAAGCAAAUUUCAAAGGUACUCAAGACUUGUGUGAUACGGCGCUGAGCUCUGUGCUCACACAGAGAGCUGUUGGUUUUAGGCAUGCUAAAUGAAACACAUUUUACAUCUGCAGCAGAGUAAGAAAAAGUCUCGUUUCUUUUGCCUGAACAAAAGGCAAAGCAUAUAGCAGCUGCUGUUCUUGUAGUAAAGAUUUCAAAACUGAAUGGCAGUGCUCUCUCACUCCUAUUCAUUUGACACUCAGCUUUCAGAUUGUGAUGUUCACUGUCAUAUUUAUCACUUAACUAUGAUGGGCUGUUUGGGGUGACAGUUAUGGAUGGAAGCAGCCACAGUUCUCACCACCUUUCCAGAUCCAUUUUAAGUGGUUUCUGCUCCAUCAUCACUAAGAGCUGAUGCUGCUAUUCCCAUAGUUGGGAGAUUAGAAGCAAUGUAUGAAUUCAGGCCUUUCUCCUUCCUGUGGUUGCCCUAUGGUCAGGCAGAGGAGACUUUCUCAACUCUUUCGACCACUGCUGGUGAAAUGAGCCCCACAGUACGUGAUCGAGAGAACUGACUUUGAGCUUUGAUAGUUAUAAAUAGUAGGCACUGUAAUUGUCUAGCAGUUCUCCUGCAAAGAAGAGGUAAUUGUGUGGAUGAAUAAAAUAUUGGCAUUAAAAAAACAUUUUAAGCUUAAUCUCAAAGUAGCUGAUGAAGUAUUUCUAUGGCAGACCUGUCAGCUCACGUGCUCUCAGUGGUAGCUUCUCAUGCUUGGUUGGCUCUUUUGUAAGAAGAGAAAAAGAAUUAAAAAGAAAAAAACAAAAAUGAAACACACCAGAAACACAUGCACAGUACAGAAUGCACACACAACGAAACAGCAAAAUAAUCCUGAAAAUCAAAUGCGUGCAUUUGGAGAGGGCCUUCUGCACUUCUACAUGUUACCUCUCAUGGGGAAGUUCCCAGCCCUGCCACUCAGGCAGACCCAGUGGAGGAGCUUUUCUCUCUGGGUGCCCAUCCCCAGCCUCACUGUACCUGACAACUUCAUGGUUCAGCCUGUUUCUUCUCCAGGGGGCAGAGCCAUGCUGCCUUCCCCUUCUGCAGGGAUGAAGCUUCGGCUGCCAUUACACUGUGCUCUUGGAGAGACCUUCAGCUCAAACUGAUCUACAGCCUACCUGUGGGAUAGUCUUCAGCCUCCAGGCAGAGCAAAGCAGCCAGAGCACACCUGGGAGAGGAAGGAUCCUGAAAACUGCUGCUUAUGGGGUGGCAUCAGAUUACGACCAGUUCCUAGGAUUUGGCUCAGAGAUACAGAGGAAAGCAGGGAGGUGGGCUGGCUCCUCCAUCCUGGACCAAAAGUUUGAUGCAGGGAUUGGGUCUCCUCCCACUGCAUCAAUGCAUAGGAUGAGGGGAGGAGGAAGGAAAAGUGACUGGCAUUUUGAGAUCAUUGAUAACCUUCAUGAGGCAUUAGUUUUAUUUAAUAUAGAGUGUCAUGUUGGGUCCAGUAUUUCAGGGACCGAUUUAAGAUUUAACAGCAAUUCACAAUGCUAACAUCAGCCAAAGCAUUUCUGUUUGGAUUUUAGUUCUCCAGCAGAAGGAUGACAGCACUGAAGAUUAAAGCUUUUUUUUACCCCUCCUUAAGAUCUCAGCAAAGUGCAGAUUUGAAACACAGAAAGAGGUUGACCUUCGUAUUAACCUGAAUCUCUUUUCCUGUUUCUUCUUGAACAUAUUUUAUUCUCUUUAUGCACAGUGGGGCUCUUUUUUUCUUGUGUGAGGCUGUUGAAUGAAAUGCCAGAAAGAUGGAGUGUGCACUUUUACAUCAAAGAAAUGAUGAGACCAUAAAAACUCAUUUCCCUUGUGACUUCUUAAAUUGUUGCUAAGGAAUUCAAUGAGUCUGUUUGAAACAAUGUGUCCCUUUAAAUUCUGUUUUCUUAUUUGUCUUAAAACACAAAGCCACAGUUUCUUGUAGACCCCGAUUCAAAGGCCACUCACUGAAGUCAAUAAAGGUUUCUUAGUCACUGUGUUUAGAUGUAGGUCAGAUUUUUCAAGUAUUCCACUAUGUAGAACCCAGGCAGACUGAUUUCAAAAGUUCUGGCUAUUCACAGAAAGAAAGAAAAAGGUCUAGUUUGUUUUUGUUCAUUCAGGUGGUUAAAAACGUCCCCUUCAAAGGGGCCAGAAUUGAGUCAACUGUCAACUGCUGAGCAGAACAAAUCUGACAGGGGCAAGUAAAGUGAAGCAGUAGUUAAAUUCAGAAAUCCAAAGAAGUAAAAAUGUUGAUUUACUUUAGUUUUUCUCAUGCACAGUGGUGAUGUGCAGUAGAAGCACAAACAAAACCCACAGUUCAGACUGUUGGAGGGAUACCCUGCCUAUUUCUGUGUAACAGUUUUGGGCAAUCACUCUCGCUGCUGGGGUGAAUGGUUUGUUAGUACUAUAACCCAGUGAGUUGCUAGAAAUGGUCUUGAUUGGAGAGCAUUGUAAAGCAAUUAAGUUCUGACUAUUAACAAAGCUCCCACAGAGAGCAUUAAUUUUUGAAAGUAGACAAAGUCUGCGCUACGACUUUCUAGUGACUGUGUGGAAGUGUGACCAGAGUGAAAUAUGGAAACUGCUACAGUAAGUCUCAACUGUUGUAGAUAUUCCUUAUCAGUUUCCAGGAAAAGGUUUUAAAGUUCCAAUUUAGAAAAGCAUUUAAAUGUAUUCUGAAAUUUAUUUCAAUUUAAUUGGAUACAGGUUUAACAAAUUGCUAAGUUUUUGCAUAAUAAGUAGCAAUUUAAGUAUCUUCUUAUAGAGCUGGUUUGGAUUUCAUUUAAAUAUCCUUUUCUCGGAAUUGGAGCCUUAGUCAUCUGAACUGUAAUGGGAUUUUCUGGGUCUAAAAUCCAGAAAAUGCCACUUUGCUCUCAGACCCAAGUCAGUCAUCUUCAUCUAUGAGAUACCCAUAUUGUGUGCACAUGUUCCUUUCCAGAACUCCAGCCGCCUGAGCUCUUUAACUUACUGUUUGUUUCUCUCUGCAAAGGCGUAUGAUAUUUUAAGCAGGUAACUUAACAGUGGUUCAAAAUAGUGAUUUCUUGUGUUAGCCAGUGUAAGAAAAAUCAUAGAAUCAGUCAUAGAGAAAUGCCAUGCUGAAGAUGCUAAAACCCCAGAAUGGAGGUCUCCAUCUCUGAUCGUUCUCAGAGGUUGAAAUUGCAGUUCGUCAUCUUCCUAUCUAUUGUACCCAAUUUCUGGUUGCUCUGCUCUGUUUUAUGCCUUGAAAAGGACAUUUGCUUUAAUGGUCCCAUGCUGGGAUUUCAGAACGAUGGGGAAACAUUGCUACCAGUAAAAUAUGUGGAACUAUUUUCAAAACGUUGGUGUGAGCCAACAGGACCUAUCAAAGCCUUUGCAAAAGCAUAAAACCAACUUCUCAGAUUACAUUGUUUAUAAUUUCUCUUGGGUUAUUUCCCAGUAACACAGAAAACGUGUGACUCUUUUUGUAUCCGAAAGGAGUUUGGCCAGUGCUGAGGUGGGAGCACAGGAUCUUUACCAAACAAGGCUCCGUGUCGUGACGGGCAGUCUUUAGGACUCUGAGUAACUGAAUGCUUGUAGCACUUCACUUUCUGAAGAUAGAUGAAGCGUCUUCUGAAUUACAUGUGGUUUUUUUAUGGUUUGUUGUCUUGUUUUUCUCCUUGUAGUGUAAUUCUGAACCACAUGAUCAAGCCAGGUGUUAUUCCAUGCUACUGCUUCUGAAAAUGCAGAUGCAGCAGAUGCAGGCAUACGGGUUCAGUGAAUCAGGAACAGAUAAGUGUCAACUUUCCUCUGUGGUUGUGGUUGCAAAGACCCUUGUGCUGAACGUUUAUUCUCUAGUGUUUAGAAAGGAACAGUUUGAUUAUAGCAGUACUUUGUUUAAAAAAAUUUCUUGAUAACUACACUGAAAGUGGAUAUUUUCUGCUAUUACUUAAAACUCAGUGUUGGUUGCAAACCCAAAGAAAACAGGUACCCAUGUUCAAUAGCCAUACCUAAUACACUGUUGUGUUAGAUACCACAAUCCUAAUUCCAUAAGAUGGUGUUCUUGGAAACAGCAGAAAAUCAGCAUGGAAUAGAAAAAAUUUCCUCCAGAAGAUGCAGUUUCCAUUGUAAAACCAGUCGUUUGCAUUUUUAACAUCCCACCUUGCUAGUUUUUCUUCUUCUAUUGGGAAGAAGUUCAUAACAAGUUCACUCCUUUUAAUCUAAGGAAAAUGAACAGACCUCCCAGAGUUGAAAACCCGCUGUACAAACAGCAAAAUUAUUCCGACUUCCAGGAGUAAUUUAAUUAGAAGGAUUCUUCAGAGUGGCUUUUUUUUUUUUUUUUUUUUUUUUCAUUAGAAAAUGUGGUGUUUUUCACGCUGUACAGCACAAAACCUUUGGCAUUUUUGUAAAGUGUAAUAAAAUAAUCACUGGGAAUUUCUGGAUCUUUCUCUAUAGGAGUUGCUACCCAUUUUUCUUUUUAAGCUAAUUUAAGGGACAGAGUAGCUCAAUAAUUUGUUUUUCUGCUUAAAAAGGUGACUUUGAAGAAGAGUGACAUGAUAAACCUUCCACGGUGAUUAUGGAAAAUAUUGUUUCUGCUAUUUAUGAAAUACACUGUGAUGCUCUUUUGAUUAAAAAUGAAGAUGAAAAUCUUUCAAAACCUUUGAGACAAAAUUAUUUCAGCAAACAAAGAAUGAGAAGAGUAUCUGGUAGUGGUGUGGACUUCUGCAUGGUCUUGAAUAUGUGCUGCUCUGUGGAAGAACCAUUUCCAGAAGUGGCAUUUGUCCCCACAGACUUUUUAUGUCCAGGUGUUUCACUUAUCUGUAGUUCCACUUAUGUUUUCUUUUCUUUUCUUUCAACUAAUGUCCAGGACAAGUUAAAGUGAAUCCUACAUUCACUGGCUGACUAGGUGCUAAUUGCUAACAUCAGUUCUGAACCUGAGACAGAUAUUAGCUCCAUGUGCAAUUAGCACACUGAUGUACAGAGGAACUGAGAUCCCAAGAUGAAAACCAGAAGAAUGAGGUGCUGUACUGUCAUUUUGGAAGACAGUACCCCAUUUUCACUACUUAUAGUUACAGAACAUCAUUAGUUUUUGAAAAUGAACAGGAAAAUCUGCUAUUAGUGUUCCUUCCUGCUGUUAUGCAGCAUGAGGGGUUCUCAAUGUCUAUGCUUGUACUUUGUUGCUCUUGUUGAAACAUCCCUUUCUUGAAGAGAUCAUUUAGGACUGGGAAGACCAGAGACUCUGGGAAUGAUAUUCUAACAGAGUUAGAAAAUGCCAGAAUGUUACUGACCUCAAUGUGGAUUACAUUUCUAAAGUAGUUUGGGACAUUCUCUUGCCACCUGUAGUUGUAUAGUUUGUAUUUCAGAAUUAGGGAGGUCAACAGUAAAGAAGCGAUACAUUUCAUCUAAAGAGUGAUGUAGAGAAUUGUAAGGAAAUUACAACUUUUGUUGAGUUCUUUACCGACAUUUAUUGACUUCAUUUCUGCUUAACGCUACAGCUGACACCAAGCCCAGCCCUUUGUUUGCAGGACAGUAGAUUUAAGUGCUCACUAAAACAAGAAGUCUGUGGAAUAAUUAAAUAAUGAGUAUUUUUAACAAGUGUCCUUUGAAAACAUCUCAAGGUAAUGUUGAAAGAAAAUAAAACAAAAAAACAAACAAUAGGAAGAACUGAAAAUCAUUUGCAUAGAAAUGAUCACAUUCCAUCAUGAUGUCCUAAUUUGUGCCUAUGUUUUAGGAUGUUUAUGGUGAUUCCAGAGCUGAUUACCAUAUUAAUGUCAUGAAAAUAAUAAAAAUGUACUGAUUUAGUGCAUUACUCCCUUAAACCAGUCAUAAGAAAAGAUUUACCUUAGUUAUUCUGUGGUAAAAGUUAUAUUACUCAUUUUCUUCAUCUUCAGUGCAUGUGGUAACACAGAAAUAUCACUUUGCAAAGUGCUUUAUAUCAAGGAAAUUCCAGACCACAACAAAGGAGUGCAUGUUAAAAUCAUGAGAAAUGUAGUUUGAGGUGAUUCAUGAAAGAAAUAAUCAGUGUUUAUGAAUGCUAAAAUGUGUUACUCAACUAUGCGCUAGUAAAUUAUGCCUAUGCGUAAAAAGGGAGCAGGCUUAACACUGUGACUAGGAAAGCUUUACUGUAGUCAGAUUUGCUACUAUUGGACUGAAAAAAAAAAUAGUAAGGGAAAGAGAAGUUAAAUAAUAAACUUAAUUUUGCUUUGGAAUCAACUGCUUCUCAGUAAGAUGGUGAAACUGAAAAUGGCUUUAGGAGCACAGAUGUGAGAGAUGAUAGGGACCAGUCAGAGGUCUAGAAAGCACGGGCUCUGAAGAAAGACUUUAUGAACUGGGAUUCUUUUAGAUUAAAAAAAGAGAAGGCAAGGGCUAGGUGACUUCACUUUCAGUUUUAUAUUUUUAUGGUAAUAAAAGGAAUUGAAAGAGAGUCACUGCACCCAAAGUCAAAAGCCUUUCAGACAAUGAAAAUUAUUCCUUUGUAAAAGUUGAACCAUCACCCAUCCUACAGACUUAUGUAAAGAAACAAGGAGACAUCAGUGUCCUUUCACUGCCAGAACGGGCAGGGAAGCAUCUCACAUGGGUUGGCAGGACUUUGUUUAUAUGCAGGAAAGGGGAGUGCUGACUCUCUUGGGAGAAUCUGCCAUUGUAUUAUUUUAUUUAUAAAUAUUUAGCUAAUAGAUCAGCUGUUUGGAAAUACUGGAUAUAUACCAUUGGAAAUGGUAUUAAGCAAGCAAAUAAAUAACUGGUUUUAAACUGUGGGUGGUAAACGCGUUUACAAAAACCUUCACAAGGAGCACCUGGCAACCUCAGCAGGUCCUGUCAGUGUAACUUGCUCGUGAAACACCCAAUCAAUAAUGCACAUGAGCUACAUGCCAUAUGGUCAUAUGCUUUUCACUAGGAUGAUAAAUGAUAUUCUAGGUUAUGAAAGCCAUCUUUAUAAAAUGGAAACAACUCCUGCAAACAAUCAAACUGAUGGAGGAAAAUGAAGUGAUACAAACGAACUGGAAAAUUCACUGAUCUCCAAAGAGUUCACAAUAAUUUACACAAGUUGUUCUUAUACUUUGUUUACAGUUGUACAGAGAGAGACCUUUUCUUCUCAGGGGCCAGAAGGGGUAUUGCAUACACGAUGUGAGAAUGGACAGGCAGAGAAGAGAGAAGAUGGAUGGAAGAGUGGAUGCAUUACAAAGGCUGUUCAAGGUUUGGAAAGUAAAGGAAAGUAAAGAGAAUCAUGAAUGGAAUACUUCUAUACAGCAAUAUACUUCAUUGUCAUGGGAUAGAUGAACAGAUUUGGAUUCCUCAAAGAGAGAUUUGUUUCAAGCCAGACAAGGUGGGACUCAGGAAUUGCAUUUUAAGAAGAAUCACUUUGAAGGCAAGAAAGAGGUCACGUGAGGAAACAAGCACUUGAGGAAAUCUUAUGCAGUUUAAAAUUGAUUGAGUUACAAAUAAAGACAUUCUUCAGAAAAGGAAUGAGCUUUGAAAGACUCAGGGUAUGCAGCACUGUGCUGAGAAUAAGGAAGAGAUAUGGUCCUGUUUCAUUGUUCUCUGGAGUGGGGAAGCGGAGCAGUGGGAGUGUGUUGGGAUCAAAGGAUGGCUGGUAAUUUAUUUUGUGUCCUUUUCUACAGUUACUUUGAUAUCCAGCAUAAGCUGAAAUGAAUAACGUUCAUUUCUUGAGGAAAAUAUGGUGCAUUUGAAAAUCAGUGUUCAAAUGAGCAAUAAUCCAGUCUGGCUUCCUUUGUGUUAUCCAAAGCAGCAGCGUCUUCAGCUUGAGAUAAGGGUAGGGAGACUGCUUAAUUUCAAAGGUUUUCACUUUUAUCUUAGACUGGGAAAUCUGAAUACUUUAAUGGGUUUAGGUUUUAAUUUAAUUCCAGGUUGCUCAUCAUUUCACCUUUCAGCUGGGCUAUAGAGAUAAUUCAAUCAUAUUUCCCUUGACAAGCCAUCUGAAUUAUGCUUAUAUUUCUCUGUGGAUGUGAAAAUCUGCCACCACAAUUGAGUGCAUGACAGACUCUUCUGCCUUCCUUCCUUCUUUCUUCCUUAAUUUUGAGUUUGUUCUGCUCUUGCUCCAUAAUGCAGAUGUCCUCUGACACAGGCACAUGAAAGACAGACCUUGUACUUCUGCAUAGACACGAUGCCAAAAGUUUCAGAAGUAAGGCCAGAGAGCAGUCGUCAGGAAACAAAAAGAUCCAAUAUGAACAAACAGCAUAUUUUGGGUAGUCUGGGGAUUGUGUGGGCUCAACUUCUGCCCAGAGUUCACAUGCUUUUCCUCCUCCAUGACCGUUUUUUACAGAGACUUUACAUUUUGUUUCCCCAGACCUAUCCCCUUGCUAUCCAGCAGUACAUAAUCAGCUCUUAUGACUAAAAUAUGUGAAAACGGAGAAGGAUUCUCUGGUCUGAUUCUUGAACCCAAAAGGCUGAUCAGGAAAGACACAAGCAAGAGGUAACAGUUUCUUAAAUUCAGGUUUCUCUGUUAGACUUUACACAUUAAUUUUGUGUUUAAAAGGUCUUUUCUUGAAGGUACCCUAACCAAACUCAGCAUUUCACAUAUCUGUGUGAACGCAUACUAAAAUGAAUCACAUUUCCACAGUCAGAUAAGGUCCAUCUUUCUACCUUUUUUUCACUGCUCAUCUGUCUUUUAAAGUGGCUAAACAUGAUAAAUGCAUUCAAUUUCAUCCCCUCUGUGUUAUGUUAACCCCGAAGGUCACAACAUUGAGAACUACUCUGGAGUGAACCAGCGCUGAACUACACUGUGCUUUAAUGACUUUUAAGGUUUCCAGGUAAGAACAGCUAUCAUCAUCCCACAGAGACAUUUCUACCUUCUUUUCUAUUUAGAGCUAACUCUUCUAUUAGCAUGUUCCAGCUGAGUCAAAGAGGCAUCAAAGGCACUUAAGGCCCUUUUCCUUCAAGACCCAGGCUGUAAUACCUGAGAAGUUUAUCCUCUUUAAUUGCAGACCACACAAACCUGCUGAAAGCUCAGUCUGACACUCCCCUGUGCAUGACAGGCUGUCAUUCUCCUGGAAUAAUUUCCUGACAUUCUUCAGAGAGAUGUGGACAUUCAUUUUUUGCCCUCACAGGAAGCAUCCACAUUGCAUGCUAUUUAUAAAACUGUCAUUCAUUUUGUAACAGGCAGGUGUUCACACACAAACCUGGACAUGAAACAGCCUUUUUAUUCAAGGCAUUUUUGGCACUUUAUUGAAGAUAGGCCCUCCCAGAUGGAGAAUUAAAAUCAGGAUCUCAGUUCUUUUCUAUAGGCAGCUUCUAGAAUGGAUGUCUGUGUAGGUAAGAGGGUGUAAGUAAAAAAACAACAGACCCUAAAACAACUACAAAACUUAAAAUGUGUGCUAAUGUGCAUAUGUGUGCUCAUGUAUGUUUACAUUAAGACAAAUCUCCAAAUGACAACUUAUUAGUACCGAAUAUUUUGUUUAAUUUCUUUUAGUAUAGGAUAACUUCCAACUGCUCUUAGAUUACCAAAAAGACACUGUCUUUUUUGAAGGUCAACAUGGAAGAUAAAGAGAAGACAGGUCAAAUUCUGAAAAUCGUGGAAGAAAAGUAGUUAAGCUGACAAAAAUGAGAAAGGAUGUGAACACAUAAGGUCAGAAUGAAAACCUAAGUUAAAACUUAAUAACUUGUCUUGCGUCAUAGUAGCUCUUCGGUCAAUAAAUUAUCCAGACAAAGUUUAUUACAAAUUAUUCUUUUCAGUGCAAUUAGACAUUUGAAAUAUUGGAACAGAUGGGAAGAGUUUCAGCUCAAAUGAUGAUUCUUCUCACUUUGCUUUCCGGGAAAUGAUAAAACAUUCUUCCCAUAGCCUGGAAAAAAAGAGGGAUUGAGAGAACACACAGAAGCAUAAAAUACAGUGAACUGAAUUAUGCAGCCAUGUAAUAAAAAAAUGUUGUGAAACAAGAAUACUCUGCUUCCACAGUGUUUCAGUGGCAUUCUUUGAACCUUUCUAUUCUUAGACAUUCUUGUAGCCUGAAGAUAUUCGUCAUCGUGGCAUAACUAAAUGAUUUGUUUUUAUUGGUACAAUCAAUCCACAUUAUUACCUUUGACUACAUGGUUCUCUAUCUUGAUUCUGACAUACGGCUAAUAACUUUUAUGAUGAAAUCACAGAAGUGCUCCAUGGGAUGUAAUUGAAAAUUGUGCUCUGUAGUUUUGUUUUGAACUUCUUUUAAUGUUUAGUAUAGCCAUGUGCAACCUUGAUGGAAGUAAACUGUGAUACAUGGAAUUAAUUUUAACAGGAUAGAUGUAUGCCUCAUCUUGUAAUGAUGGUAAGCAGUUGCAGUUACCACAGCUGGAAGGGGCACCUCUGACACUGAAGCUCCACUGCCAUUCUCUGAUUUGAGCUUUUGAAAUCACACUUUUGGAAAACAUAGAGAAGUAAAGCAUUAAUACAAAUGAAUUUGGAGAGUAAAAAGAGUCAAAUCCAAGGAACAAGCCAUUGUGAUGUGGCGAAAUCCUUGUGGAAAACAGCGGUCUGCUGAUAUGUACCACUAUAGAAGUUAUUACUAUUUCCAGCACAGAUCUGUCCCAUUUGAACUGAAUGCAAAUAUUAUCAUGCCACUUGUGACUCAUUCUGUGCUUCAGCAUUUUUAAAUGUUAUUCUGCUUUUCUUGUGCUAUUUCGUUAUACUUACCAUCAUAUAUGUGCCCUUUUUUUCCUGCUUUUUAUGAUUUUCUUUUAGAUUUUCAGAUUGUUAAACUGUUCUUGAUGCAAUCAUGUUAAUUUUUGAUGUACUUCUAAUCUUUCCUCCAUGUUAGGAUAAUUUGCUGUUGUGCCUUUAUCUUGUGUGUUUCUUUUUCCUUAUCUCUUCUCAGAUACUUGCGUUUCCCUGAGCCAUUUGAAGUCCAUUACCCUUAUUUUGUUAUUUGCAAUUUAAAGGAAGAGUGGAAGACUUAUCAUUUUUAUGAUCUCUUUCACUUGAAUUAACUUCCACUUUAAGAUUCUCAACCAUUUCCUUCAAAAGAAUUUGAAUUAAAUCUAAAAUAGCUACUUUCUGUGUAAUUUCCUCCACUUCAUGAAAGAAAAAACAGUCCCUGACACAUUCAGAGAAUUGAAUAGACAAUCUGUGUCCUGCUUUCUCAGCAGCUCCCGGUUAUACUGCCAUCUCACCACUAGGUCCUGCCAUUUAGGUAUUUCUAGUUUCUGUCCCUUGGAUGUCUCCAAUAGUCGCUAUAUUGAAAAUCUUUGGCUUAAACUCAUCUUUAAGAGCAUUUAUUUCUUUUUCUCUCACAUAAUUUAACUGUUGUUCAGCAAAUCUUUCUGACACUUUUUUCCUUUUCAAGCCACAGCACGUGACUUCUCCUAUGCUUGUUCUUCUAGAUCGUGCUAUGCUAUUCUCUAACAGUGUUCAAGUAUUGCUGUUUUGCCACAUAGCUGUACCACUGUUUGGACCAUGCUGGUGUACCAAUACCAUAAUAUCUAGCUACUUAGAUCUCAUCCUGCAGUGUAUGUUGUCCUGUUUUUCAAACGCUUGAUGUACUACUUCAUGUUCUCCCUUUCUUCUUGAUAUGCUUGCCCACGUUCUGUGCAGCCAGACAUCACCUCUGGCAUGGUCUGUCACUGUUUCAAGCUGCAGAUAUGGAAUGUAUUACUUUAUAUCUUCAGGAAAAUUAAUGUCUUAAGC